GUGUGAAGAGAAAGUUCCAAUCGAAGUAAAGAAGUUUUUCGUACGAAUCCAAGUGGAGAAAAAAAUUAAAAUAGCUACGUUAGCCUAACUGGUGAAUCAGGACCCAUUAUUGGAGGAUUUUUGCCAUAUCUAUCCGCGUGGCUAGGAAGCCAAAAGCCAUCUAGAGACUGAGCCAACUCAGUUCCCGGGGUGGUGUGCCCAUUAGAAUUCACUCCCGUACGACGAAGCAGCUCCGAGACCCAGCGAGGAACGACAAAGAGACACCACGCCGUAGUUUCCCCAACCCAACCAGAUCCAGCAUCAGCCGGCCGGCACAGCGCAUUUUUACACACCAUACACUCACACAAACGUAAGUCAGAAUAAAAUCAUAACUAUAGACGACCGUAUUUGGCUUCCGAUUGGUGUCACAUGUCCCAAAGCCGACCUUGAGCCUCCGAAACUCACGCUCGUGCUAGCCAUCAAAAGAGGCCUUUGGAGCCCAGCCCCGGAUAGUCCCCAGAGGUACGACCAGGGACUGGGGUGAUUUGAGCUGGUCCUUCCGACCGUAGAGAGAUAACAAGAGAGAUGGACUUAGAAAAAACCAUUGCCCGAAUAGGACAGUCUAAGGAACGAAAUGCGUAUUGUCCGUAAGUAAAUAUAUAUAGAUGCUUUGUUUUGCGGAUAAAAGAUUUCGGUCGGUGGUUGAAAUUUUAUUUUCGGACUUAGAAGCGUGGAACUCUUUGUCAGUAAUAGACGUAAUAGUUGUGUACCGGUAGGAGACAGCCGACUAAAGAAAAGUGUCAUCUAAAGUUAUCUAAAGACGGUAGAACCCACCAAUUCAACGUGGGUUUUUUUUGUUGGACUGGAACCCUGUCGGACCCGUCGUAUGCGCAACCACGUGCGGACCCUUCGGUCCUUGACCAUGUUGGUGUUAUGGUAGCACCCGGUUGCCCUAGAUUGGGUGUGCUAACUCGCUAACACGCGAAAAGGUGCGCGAUCCACGCCGUGUCGGAGACAUCAGAAACACCACCGAAGCGAACUUUCGGAAACGCCAUCUCUCCUUCGACACCUACAGUAGCCGCCCACCGUUACCGAUGUGCCGGCGGUGCCGCGGAGAAUUCACCACCGCCGCCCGGGUUGCCCGCUACCCGCUAUGAUUGAACACGUCGCCAGCUGCUAAAACGCCUGAGUUUACUUCGCCACUUCAUCAUCUACCAACAAUGCUAAGGUCAGAACCAACUGUUAUAUUAUAUGCUAGUGAAUAUGUUGUAUACAUGAAUUUAACGUUAAACGAUCGACACAAUGCUAAGCUAGGAGUGACGUCACGUUAGGGACUGUUUAUGUUGUUCAA